rnacentral:rRNA from 1 species
AACAAAAACAUGUCCUCAUGUUUUUAUUUGAGGUUUGGCCUGCCCGGUGAUUUUAAUUUAACGGCCGCGGUAUAUUGACCGUGAAAGGUAGCAUAAUCAUUAGUCUUUUAAUAGGAGGCUGGAAUGAAAGGUUUAACGAAAAAUUAACUGUCUCAAUUAUAAAUUUGAAUUUAACUUUUAAGUUAAAAGGCUUAAAUUUUAUUGGAGGACGAGAAGACCCUAUAGAGCUUUACAUCUUAUUUCAGGUUAUCUUAUUUAGUUCAAUAAUUUAAUUUUAUUUGAAUGGGUGUUUUGUUGGGGUGACAAGAAAUAUAUAAUCAACUUUUAUUAUGUUUUUAUCAUUAAUUUAUGUAUAUUGGAUCCAAAAUUUUUGAUCAUUAGUUUAAGUUACCUUAGGGAUAACAGCGUAAUCUUCCCUCAGAGUUCAAAUUUACGGGAAGGCUUGCGACCUCGAUGUUGGAUUAAGAUAAUAAUUAGGUGCAGUAGCUUAAUUAAUAGGUCUGUUCGACCUUUAAAUUCUUACGUG